CUUGGGGAUUUUGAGGGCUGGUGCUAAAGAAAGGUAACAAGCCAUUUCCAUGCCUUCUUUUGAUUUGUUUUCCCCACCCAAAGGUGUAGGUGAAGAGGACUACAGCUGCUGUUUUGGUUACUUCUUCUUGGAUUGCUUCUACAGCAGCUUGUUAAACGCUGACAGCCAGCAUGAUGUCGCACAAGACAUGAGAAAAGACAGCAGGAAAAUUCAGAAGGAACGUAACUAAGGACGUGUCCUCCACGGUAACCAGACAGCAGAUAAAAGUGGCAAAUUCCUGUGACUCGCAUCAGCUUGGUAUUCUCUGGUUAUUCAAGGACUAAGUUCUGUUUCACUGAGUCCAAUUGCAAAGUUUCCGUUUGCCCUCAGAUUCAGCGUCUUGGAUUCAUAAACGCAAUAUUCAUCGAAAGUGGGGGAGCCAGCUAACUUAUAUCAAGAAAAUUGACCCACGGCCUGCAAGCCUCAAGUUCCUGUUUACGUGGGCAAAGAGAAGCAAGCGCUGGCAGCGAAGCAGGGGGAAGCGCAGGGCCAGGGCAGCCUCCUCCCUCCGUACACCGUCGCACCUACGCAACCCUUCUGCGCCCGGAUGCACGUUGAUGGCGCUGGCCCUGGUCAAAGGCUGAGCUUGGAGAGGUCCCCAGGACAGUUUUGGCGGACGGGUGACUUCCACGUGGGGCAGAGAGACUGGCGUGGCUCUCCUGAGAGCACCCGAGGCGGACCGGCGAGAUCCCCAGGUUGGUUACGCUCCGUGUUCCCGUCUCCCCUCUGGUUUUGGGCGAGCGCCUUCCCGCUGCACAGCUUUGGGGCUUUCUGUCGUCCCCCUGCGGAUGUGGCCCCAGCAUCGCCCAGUGCAGCCGCGGUGGCUGGAGUCCUCAGGGUCUCCAAGGAAGACCAGCAACGUGCUUCUGCCAACGCAACAUACUUUGUAUAUGUGUGAAAUAAGAAUAAAUGGCUUCUCAGCUAUGGAACAAGUUUUUGGCGUACAGAUGCCUGAAUGUAUGCGUUCCUCGGAGAGCUGGAAUUUCUUCCAGGCAGCGAGUCCCGUCAGCUGUUGCACAGAUGUUGCUGUCGGAAGCGCUGACAGAUAGGGAGACUCAGCAAGCACCACGUAAGAAAUUCCUUGUCUGUUUGCCUAGUGUACAGCCCCUCUAGUGGGCUUCGUACAAAACUCU